GUCUGUGACCUACACCACAGCUCAUGGCAACGCAGGAUCCUUCACCCAAUGAGCAAGGUCAGGGAUUGAACCUGCAUCCUCAUGGAUACUAGUCAGAUUUGUUAACCACUGAGCCAAGACAGGAACUCCUUCAAAUUCUUAAUAUGGAAAAACUUUACCUACAUGAGAGAAUUAAUAAUACAGUGAGGUGUCAUAAACGCAAAAGUCUAGAUUCACAGAUCAUCAGGAGUUUGCCAUCAUGGUUUAUCCAUCUCUUUUUUUCUCUUUCCUUUUCCACUUUUGGAAGUGUCAGCCAACCAAAAGGAAAAGGGAAUCCUGAUACACCGAGGGCUCUGGAAGGCCAGCAUUUGCCUGCCAAUUUCAUACACCUUCACUCAGCUUUUACUUAGGAAGCAAAAAGGACGGCUCUACGUUUAGUAUUGCAUUGUGCUUAUGGGAUAAGUAGCCUUAAAGCUCAAGUCUAUCCCAUGCUAGAUGGGUAUUGAUUUUUCCUCUUAAAUCAAUGUUUCCCUCGAGCGUAGUUUUAUUUAUUCAUAAAGCCAAGAUGAUGUCUGACAGGAGUUAUGGCAGUGUAAAUCUGUGAUGCAGGCACAAUACGAAGAGCUCUUAUAAGACUCAAAAAUCAAUGCUGCUAGAGGGUCACUCCCUAAGCCUGAGUAAGUGUGUUUGCGGAGCUUCCAAGAGUAAAGGGAGAAUUUAGCAUACAGGUAAGUUUCGUCCUUCUGUUUUCUCGGCCACUUUUCAAAGGGACCUAAAUGAAGUGCAUGUGAGCCUUGAAUAACAAGUGUUUGAACUGUAUGGAUCCACUUAUACAUGGAUCUUUUCCAAUAGUAAAUACUGUAUGUAGUUCUAAAUGAUCCACAAUGGGUGAGUCCACAGAUGCAGGGAUCCACAAAAGCACUUGGAUUUUCGACUGUGCAGAGGGUGUCAUCCCCAAUUCAUAAUAUUGUCCAAGGAUCAGCUAUAGAACUCAAGUGGGAACAUCAGACUGAAAAGAAUCAAGCUUCAAUAGAGAUUCCUUGUUGGCCCCAUAUCUGUUGGUUCAGUCUCAAAAGCUCCACUGAUCCUGCUGAUCUUAACCCUGUAAUUUUGCCUCCUGGUGCAGAAUACAUUCUAAAAGUAUUCACUUUUUGUCACUCUAAUGGUUUUUAACUUAAAGAAAAUGUCUCAGGAGUUGCCAUGGUGGCUCAGUGGAUUAAGAACCCAACUAGUAUCCAUGAGGAUGUGGGUUCUUUCCCUGGCCUUGCUCAGUGGGUUAAGGAUCUGGCAUUGCCAUGAACUGCAGGGUAGAUUGCAGUGUGGCUUGAAUCCAGCAUUGCUGUGGCUGUGGUAUAGGCUCCUGCUACAGCUCUGAUUCACCCCCUAGCUGGGAACUUCCAUAUGCCAUAGGUGUGGCC
rnacentral:lncRNA from 1 species